CAGUCGAACGGGAAUUACUUUAUUGAAACUUCGGUCGAUUUAAUUUAAUUCUAGUGGCGGACGGGUGAGUAACGCGUGGGUAACCUGCCUUGUACAGGGGGAUAACAGUCAGAAAUGACUGCUAAUACCGCAUAAGCGCACAGGACCGCAUGGUCCGGUGUGAAAAACUCCGGUGGUAUAAGAUGGACCCGCGUUGGAUUAGCUAGUUGGUGAGGUAACGGCCUACCAAGGCGACGAUCCAUAGCCGGCCUGAGAGGGUGAACGGCCACAUUGGGACUGAGACACGGCCCAGACUCCUACGGGAGGCAGCAGUGGGGAAUAUUGCACAAUGGGGGAAACCCUGAUGCAGCGACGCCGCGUGAAGGAAGAAGUAUCUCGGUAUGUAAACUUCUAUCAGCAGGGAAGAAAAUGACGGUACCUGACUAAGAAGCCCCGGCUAACUACGUGCCAGCAGCCGCGGUAAUACGUAGGGGGCAAGCGUUAUCCGGAUUUACUGGGUGUAAAGGGAGCGUAGACGGAUGGACAAGUCUGAUGUGAAAGGCUGGGGCUCAACCCCGGGACUGCAUUGGAAACUGCCCGUCUUGAGUGCCGGAGAGGUAAGCGGAAUUCCUAGUGUAGCGGUGAAAUGCGUAGAUAUUAGGAGGAACACCAGUGGCGAAGGCGGCUUACUGGACGGUAACUGACGUUGAGGCUCGAAAGCGUGGGGAGCAAACAGGAUU
rnacentral:rRNA from 1 species